AAAAUAGUGUAUUAUGUUGCUCUAAAUUAAACUAUGUGUUUAGUUUGGAUUGGGUCAAAGCCUCCAAGUGUAAAGAACGAAUGUUUUUUUUCAAUUAUUGGAUACUCUACAUAAACUCUGGUGAUUCCCAUCACUAGGCUCUUAUGAACAAAGCAUUUCGACUCCAUAACUGGUAAACUUUGCAGAUCCUUUGUGGGAUGCCUCCAUUCUAAAUAGUUUUUCCACAACUUGGGCAAGG